rnacentral:rRNA from 1 species
GACGGGGGCCCGGCACAAGCGGAGGAGCAUGUGGUUUAAUUCGAUGAUACGCGAGGAACCUUACCUGGGCUCGAACGUAAGAUGACUGUAGGUGAAAGCUUACAUCUCGUUCGGAGCAUUUUACGAGGUGCUGCAUGGUUGUCGUCAGCUCGUGCCGUGAGGUGUCGGGUUAAGUCCCAUAACGAGCGCAACCCCUACCUUUAGUUGCCAUCAGGUUAAGCUGGGGACUCUAAAGGAACUGCCUACGCAAGUAGUGAGGAAGGCGGGGAUGACGUCAAAUCAGCACGGCCCUUACGUCCAGGGCUACACACGUGCUACAAUGGCCGAUACAGAGGGCAGCUACCUGGUGACAGGAUGCAAAUCUCCAAAGUCGGUCUCAGUUCGGAUCGGAGUCUGCAACCCGACUCCGUGAAGUUGGAUUCGCUAGUAAUCGCGCAUCAGCCAUGGCGCGGUGAAUACGUUCCCGGGCCUU